rnacentral:rRNA from 1 species
AACGAACGCUGGCGGCAUGCCUAACACAUGCAAGUCGAACGAUCCCUUCGGGGGUAGUGGCGCACGGGUGCGUAACGCGUGGGAACCUGCCCUUAGGUUCGGAAUAACUCAGAGAAAUUUGAGCUAAUACCGGAUAAUGUCUUCGGACCAAAGAUUUAUCGCCUUUGGAUGGGCCCGCGUUGGAUUAGCUAGUGGGUGGGGUAAAGGCCUACCAAGGCGACGAUCCAUAGCUGGUCUGAGAGGAUGAUCAGCCACACUGGGACUGAGACACGGCCCAGACUCCUACGGGAGGCAGCAGUGGGGAAUAUUGGACAACGGGCGAAAGCCUGAUCCAGCAAUGCCGCGUGAGUGAUGAAGGCCUUAGGGUUGUAAAGCUCUUUUACCCGGGAUGAUAAUGACAGUACCGGGAGAAUAAGCCCCGGCUAACUCCGUG